UACGUAGGGUGCGAGCGUUGUCCGGAAUUAUUGGGCGUAAAGAGCUCGUAGGCGGUGUGUCACGUCGGCCGUGAAAACCUGGGGCUUAACUCUGGGCGUGCGGUCGAUACGGGCAUCACUAGAGUUCGGCAGGGGAGACUGGAAUUCCUGGUGUAGCGGUGAAAUGCGCAGAUAUCAGGAGGAACACCAAUAGCGAAGGCAGCUCGCUGGGACGUUACUGACACUGAGGCGCGAAAGCGUGGGGAGCGAACAGG
rnacentral:rRNA from 1 species